rnacentral:rRNA from 1 species
CAGGACGAACGCUGGCGGCGUGCCUAAUACAUGCAAGUCGAACGGUCUUUCUAUGGAAGCUUGCUUCCACUGAGAAGAUAGUGGCGAACGGGUGAGUAACACGUGGGUAACCUGCCCAUAAGAGGGGGAUAACAUCCGGAAACGGGUGCUAAUACCGCAUAGUUUUCUUGAUUGCAUGAUUGAGAAAGGAAAGACGGCCUUUGUGCUGUCGCUUAUGGAUGGACCCGCGGCGUAUUAGUUAGUUGGUGAGGUAACGGCUCACCAAGACGAUGAUACGUAGCCGACCUGAGAGGGUGAUCGGCCACAUUGGGACUGAGACACGGCCCAAACUCCUACGGGAGGCAGCAGUAGGGAAUCUUCCGCAAUGGACGAAAGUCUGACGGAGCAACGCCGCGUGAGUGAAAGAAGGUUUUCGGAUCGUAAAACUCUGUUGUCAGAGAAGAACAAGUUGGAGAGUAACUGCUCCAGCCUUGACGGUAUCUGACCAGAAAGCCACGGCUAACUACGUGCCAGCCGCGGC